CAGGACUUUGCCAUUCUACACCCAGCCUGUGCUGGGAAACUUGGAUAACUGGCAGAAAAGUGGAUGCCCGUUUUCAGAGACAGAAAUUUAUGGUUUGCUAGCCAGGAGAAGCAAGCUUCUGGAAUUCUUUCAAGACUGGAUUCUGUGUGUGCAGAUGCGCAAGGUGACAGGGCUGUGAGAUUAUUGCCAGUAGUCCUACCAGCUUCUGUCUAUAGGAUUCUGCCGGAAGACCUUCCGUCUGAGCUGUGAAGAGACAAGAAAGUCAUUCAUUGAUCUACAGCCUACGGAAAAAACCUGAGCUCGCUACGGAAAUUCCUGAGCGGUACCGUGUGACGUCACUGGUGGACAACAGUGAACAGCGCCGCAGUACAACAGCAUUAUGACUGACUGGGACUGAGGAUUUUCCAGCGCUGGUUCUUCAGAUUCUGAUGAUAAUUUGAAAGAGCUGUAAUGUAGAAAUAGACCACCUUAUCACUUAGUCCUGAGACUUUUAGUCAAACCACACCCACAAAAGCAGCUCAUCCUGAGUGUAAACAGUAUCAUGACAACAGCCUAGCAACCAGCUAAACUCAAAUAUAGAGGUACAGUUAUUGUCGUAAAAUUUGCUGGUUUGCUUACACCUCCAUAUUGUUGGAACAGCGCCAGUCUUAAGAUCCAGUUGAAAAAAGUCACAUUUUAUUAGCAGUCUACCUCAAUUUAACAGCAUUUUUAACUGUUUCUCACUAUGCUGAGGUUUUUAUUUUUCUGUUGGGGGUGUCCCAAUGAUGUGUGUUUUAAGGCGUUCUUUGUAUUUGAUAUAAACUACCCCCGACAGUGUUCUUCAGACUGUUGUUUAUGAGCUACCAGGUCAUGAAUCUCCCUCCAUAAGACUCUUGCGGGCAUUUAUUUUUGCCACAGAUCAGUGACAGCUCCCAGAAUGACGCCAUGUGUGUUACCUCUUUUUAUUUUAUUAAUUUCUCAAGCAAAAGAAAAUUUGUUAUUGAAUAAGGUUGCUUGUAAUUGUUGUU